rnacentral:rRNA from 1 species
UGGGGAAUAUUGCACAAUGGGCGCAAGCCUGAUGCAGCCAUGCCGCGUGUAUGAAGAAGGCCUUCGGGUUGUAAAGCACUUUCAGCGGGGAGGAAGGCGUUAAGGUUAAUAACCUUGGCGAUUGACGUUACCCGCAGAAGAAGCACCGGCUAACUCCGUGCCAGCAGCCGCGGUAAUACGGAGGGUGCAAGCGUUAAUCGGAAUUACUGGGCGUAAAGCGCACGCAGGCGGUCUGUCAAGUCGGAUGUGAAAUCCCCGGGCUCAACCUGGGAACUGCAUUCGAAACUGGCAGGCUAGAGUCUUGUAGAGGGGGGUAGAAUUCCAGGUGUAGCGGUGAAAUGCGUAGAGAUGUGGAGGAAUACCGGUGGCGAAGGCGGCCCCCUGGACAAAGACUGACGCUCAGGUGCGAAAGCGUGGGGAGCAAACAGG